CACGUAGUUAGCCGUGGCUUCUUCCUCAGGUACCGUCAUUAUCGUCCCUGAGAAAAGAGGUUUACAACCCGAAGGCCUUCAUCCCUCACGCGGCGUUGCUGCGUCAGACUUUCGUCCAUUGCGCAAAAUUCCCGA
rnacentral:rRNA from 1 species